rnacentral:lncRNA from 1 species
CAAUCCAGAAAGACCCGACAAAGAGGGGAAAUUUGAGAAUCAAGUUCGACAUCAAGUUUCCAACAAGGCUAACUGCAGAGCAGAAGGCAGGAAUCAAAAGACUCUUGGGUCCUUGAGAUCAUCAAUGCCAGCAUUUAAUACACUACACCUCCACAGAAAUGGAGAAGUUUUGUGAAUACAAAUUAGAAAGAACGUAGUAGUUGUAUUGGUUCUUCUGAAUCCACAACUUGUUAUAUAUGUAAUCACUUUUUAGAGUUUUUGUAGCAAGUAUGCCAUCUUUCUAAGACAUUGAUGUGCUAAAUUUUGAGUGUAAUAAACUUCUCUAUUACAGUUGCAAUAAAAACUGGCUCCAGUCGAUUGAUGGUGAAUCCUUGUUUUCUUUUUAGUUCUGAACACUGAAUGCAACCAAACUUUAUGCAAAGAUGGUGAAUGCAAGUGGAUUACUACAAGAACAAGACAUGGUUAGUGGAUAGGAAUCCUAGAGGUGAAGGCUUGAGGUACAACAAAAAGCUCCUACGAUUAUUUGAGCAUGACAUUGUCAGGUAUUCUUAGUUAUAGAUAGCAAAAUUUGUCUCGAUUAGUUGUCUCUCAAGUUCAAGCAGAGCUCUGAGGUUUGGAGCUAGAGGUUGGUGCUCAUAACUGCCUCACAUAUCAACACACUGACAGAGAUAUAAGACUAGCAUGUGUAAUAUUAGCAUCAAUCACCAUUAAAAAAUGCAGGUCCUCAUAUAAUCACUUGUACUAAACAAUGUAUUUGUUUUGUGUUUAAAAAAUAUUUUUGAAUUUUUUUUAUUUUGUGUUUAAAAAAUAUUCGCUGAUAUCAAAAAUAAAUUUUAAAAAAUAAAAAAAAUAUUAUCUUGAUACAUUUCCAAGUAAAAAUCACUUCAAAAAGUAACCGUUACCACCAUCUCAACCGCUAUCAAAAUUUCAUGCACACCAAACCCCCGCACCGAAAUUAUCAUUAACAUUUAACAAAUUCAAAGAGAUAUUACAAUUGAGAAUUUAAACAGAUUCAGAAAAUGAUGUGAUCCAGAAUUUAAAUAGUUUCAGAAAAUGAUGUGAUCCAUUGCAAGUAUCAGAAGGUUGUCCUGGACGAAGGGAUGCCGAUCACAAGUGAUCCAAAAAGAGAGGAAAUUUGAGAAUCAAGUUUGACAUCAGGUUUCCAACAAGGGUUACUGCAGAGCAGAAGGAAGGAAUCAAGAGGCUCUUUGGUCCUUGAGAUCUUCAUCUCCUUUGAGAAGGACUGGUGCCCUCUUGCUACAAUCUGUGAUACUCAUCUCUAUGGUAUUAGUGUUUGAUAAGUUCAUGGUUUUGCCAACUUCUUAAUUGUGGUUUCAAUGCAAUUUGAUUUCCCUUGUUUGCUCUUGAAUCCUUCGUUUCUUGAUAGCAAAAGGAUUUAGCUUGGAGGGAAAACCAAUUUCUCUCCUCCGGAAAUCAUAGUUACUAAACUCUGCCUAGAGUCUAAUCUGGUUCAGGAUUUAGGUUAUUGGAUUAUUAAAUCACUUUGAAUUUAUCAUUUAUUUUAAAUAAAUCCUUUUAUUUUAAAAAAUAAUUAUUAAUUUUAACUUGAUUUAAGUUUUAUCAGGUCAAUUAAAUUAUAGAUCAACACGCAAAUUCAUUAGAGAUACAGCCAGAUCAAUGUCAAAACAAUUUGAAAUAAAACUCGAUUUGGGUUAGACUCAGUAUCAACUCGCGGGACUAGGUGGGAUUUAAUAUCUGUGCGUGAAACAUUAAUCACUUUCAGGAUUUCCAAAUUUCCAUUCCAAACCUCAUGAGUGAAAUAAACUAUAAAGCACAGUUACUGAUUCCUCUAAAGAUCUUUCAACUGGUUACUUCUCCUGUCACUGAAAUCACAAGAUGAAGAUUAUGUCCCCAUUUUGCUUUCAUAUCUGCCCUGAUUCCACCCUACUUCAUGACCCUUAGAGCUACAAAAGCUGUUGUUUGAUGUAACCAUGGAAGCACGGGAACUGUUUCUGCAUUGAAAAAAUCAUUAGCAACACAUAGAGAAGACAGUCUUCUCAGCAAAAACCGCUACACUUUGGUUAGUAUUUCAAAACAAAAACAAAUAAUAAAUGAAAAAUGAAAAAACAUUUUUAAUUAAAAAACAGAAACAUAAAAUAAAUUUGUUUUGAGUUAAUCUUAAAAUGAAUUUUUUUGUUUUUAAAACAUGAAAUACACGAAAAUAUGUUUUUUAUUCUUAUUAUCUAUAUCUCUUUUAUUUUAAUUUCAAGAUAGUAACUAAACACUGUUUUAAAUACUUUAAUUAUUUUUUUCAUCUAAAAUCUAUCUGUUCAAAUUAGUGGAAUUUAUGGAGUUAACCUUACAAUUUGUGGUCUUAAUGAUCAUGACAUCUCCUCUUGAGUUCAUUUCUAUUUUAUUACAAAAAUUCACAAUUAAUAUCACAAAUGUUUCAUCGGCUUGAAAAAUAAGGAUGCAAUUGUGCACUUUUAAAAAAUUAAAUAACCAAACUGUAUUGAUGAUUAUAUGUAUUUCUUUGAAGGAGGGGCAAAUUUGUGGUAUGCUGGACUCAUUCGAAAACUUAUAAAUUUAGGGUUCAAGAUGUAGUUUUGGUGUUUCUAUGUUACUAGUACGUCCGUGCUGCUUAAAAAAGAGAAAUGAGGUUAAUUGUAUAUUUCAUCCUUUAUUAUUUAAGAUUUGUUGAUAUGGUGCCUUAACGUUUUUUUUUUCAUCCAUUUUUAUGCUCCAAAUGCACUACAGAUAUGGUCCCUCUGUCGAUUUUUGGUACAAGGAUGAAAUUGGGAAGAUUAGAGAUGAAAGGGACUAAAGAAUAUAUAGUAAGAAAUAUAACAUUAACCCAACCCCUAAACUACAAGGCACAAACAAGCCCCAAAGAUUACUCCUUCAUCAUCACAUCACUAUGUACAUAUAUAAAGAGAACAAAAGCAAGCAGCUAAGCACCCCAAACUAGAAAAAACAAAGAUAAGCAAAGUGAAGAAGAGAAAGAGAGGAGGAGGAGGAGGAGGUAACAGCAACACCAUGGGAGUGGAUUACUACAAGGUAUUGCAAGUUGAUAAGACUGCAAAAGAUGAUGAUUUGAAGAAAGCUUAUAGGAAAUUAGCCAUGAAGUGGCAUCCUGAUAAGAACCCUAAUAACAAAAAAGAAGCUGAGGCUAAGUUCAAGCAAAUCUCUGAAGCCUAUGAUGUAUGUACUUAAAAUUUGACUCCAAUUGCUUCAAUAUUAUAUUUUGUGAUCUGGGUUUGUUGUGAAAUUGGAAAAUCUUGCUGAAAUAUGUGGGAUUUGAUUGUUUUAUUUCUUGUGUAGAUUUGUGUAUGUAUUGCAUUGUAGAUUUUGUGAUCUGGGUUUUUGUUAAAUUUGAUAAUCUUACUGAAAUUUGUGAUAUAUAUAUAUAUUGGCGUUUUUGUGAUAUUUUCCUGUGUUGGAUUCUAGUAGUUUUAGGAUUCUCUAUGUGUUUUUUUGUCACAACUUCAAAGUUUCAAUCUUUCAUGGCUUGAAUAAUCAUUGAACCUUGUGGGUUCUUUGUGUUGGAUCUGUAGACCAUCCAGUUAGAAGCACUGCUGAAGAUUCUCAAUUCACCGAAAUUUGUAGACUGAUGGUUUUUUUUGUUCAUCCUUAGAUAAAAAAGAAGUUGCUAUCUUUUUUGAAUUUCUUGCGUAAAGUUCUAGAAUUUUUAGUUUUGUUGUGUUUAUUAGUGUUAUCAUGAGGAAUUAACUGUUUCUUGUUAGUCAGAUGUCCAAAGUUUCAGUCUUUAAUGGGCACAAGGAAUUCUUUGUAAUGCAGUUCUAGACUGCUCAAAAUUAAAAUCAAUAGUAAAGAUUUAUUCUUUGAUUGAUUUUGUACCGAUUCAAUGUUUUUUUUAUGCAGGUUCUUAGCGAUCCACAGAAAAGAGCAGUGUAUGACCAAUAUGGUGAAGAGGGUUUAAAGGGUCAAGUACCACCACCUGGUGCUGGUGGUGCUGGUCCUGGAGCUUCAUUCUUUUCUACUGGAGAUGGACCCACAUCGUUUCGGUUCAAUCCUCGAAAUGCUGAUGAUAUUUUUGCUGAAUUUUUUGGGUUUUCUCAUCCGUUUGGAGGGAUGGGAGGAGGUGGUGGUGGUGGUGUUGGAGGCAUGAGAGGAGCAAGGUUUCCUGGUGGGAUGUUUGGUGAAGAUAUCUUCAAGUCCUAUGGUGAAGGUGGAGGAUCAAUGCAUCAAGGUGUUCCUAGAAAGGCUGCUCCAGUUGAGAAUAAGCUGCGAUGUAGUCUUGAAGAGCUUUAUAAGGGAGCUAGCAAGAGAAUGAAGAUAUCCAGGGAGAUUGUUGAUCCAAGUGGGUCAGUAUUACUAAGAAUUGCUUUUUAUGUUUAUUACCUUUCUCUUGGUUUGCAUCUGACUUAUGGCUCAUUUUAGUUUUAAUAUCUCUAGGAGUUUCUGCCAUUUUUAUCAAAUUGAGCAUCAACUUCUACCCAUUUGAUUUUCAACAAGUAAUGGCAUAAUGGGAUUUACCGGGUAGAUCAAAAAAUCAAAUGCAUGUUAUUUAUAAGAUAUGACAUGCUGCUUUCUGCUUUAGAAAUUUGCUUUUUUCUGUUGUCAGAGAUCUAUUGGACUAAUUGGCAGAUCAUUUUACAAUUUAGUAAAAAGCUUACUGAGAGUUUGUUUUUGAGGCUUGACAUGCUUUUCAAACUACUUUUUGCAUGAAAAAGCACUUAAAAAAUUCAAUUUAAUGUUUUUUUAUGGUUUUGAUAUGCCAACGUCAAAAAUGAAAAACAAAAAAAAUGAAAAAAAAAAACAUUUUGAUACAUUUUCAAUUAAAAAGCACUAUGCACUGCAUUACCAAACACACACUAAAAGCUUUUUCAAUGAUGUUUUUGUGCAGAACUCUAGUUGCUAGAUCAUUUCGCUGAACUUGUGCUUCUCUUCUUUUGUAGCAAGCCUGAGCAAGUGGAGGAGAUCCUAACCAUUGACAUAAAGCCAGGUUGGAAGAAAGGCACAAAGAUCACCUUCCCUGAGAAAGGGAAUGAAAUGCCAAAUGUUAUACCGGCAGAUGUAGUCUUCAUUAUUGAUGAAAAACCCCACCCCAUAUUCAGUCGUGAUGGAAACGACUUGAUCCUCACACAGAAGAUUUCCUUAGCUGAAGCCUUGACAGGUUACACUGUCAAUCUCACAACCUUAGACGGAAGGAACUUGACCAUUCCUAUCAACACCGUGAUUCAUCCAAACUAUGAGGAGGUUGUUCCGAAGGAAGGGAUGCCAAUCCCAAAAGAUCCCACAAAGAGAGGAAAUUUGAGAAUCAAGUUUAGCGUCAAGUUUCCAACAAGGCUAACUGCAGAGCAGAAGGCAGGAAUCAAAACUCUCAUGGGACCUUGAGAUCAAUAUUAGCAUGUGAUGCACCUCCACAGAAAUGGGGCACUUUUUGUGAAUAUGCAUUUUAGGAAAUUACCAAACAGAAUGCGAUGCACUUUUUGUGAAUGUUAUUUAUGGUAUCUGCCUUUGAUAGUUUCAGUUUUGGAAAAUUCUACAAUGCCUUUCCCUUUAGGGG